rnacentral:lncRNA from 1 species
GAAAAGCAGUUAAGGAUAAUCUCUUUGGAUUAUAGGACAAACACAUGUUUCUAAGAAUCUUGUUCUUGCUUUUCUUUUUUCACUUUCUUUCACAUUAUUUGAAAUAUGCAAAUACUAGCUAUAGUAUAUAGUAUAAGCAAAUAUAUUCUUUGGACGUUUUGAACACAAUGGUUUCUAAAUUGGUGUAGGUCCAAAUCAUGGUGUCGGGUGGAUGGGGCCUAGCCGCGGAUUUGUUUGAACAACAGAUCAAACGGUCAUCAUUUUUUGUCCAUCUAAUGAUCACUACUAUUUUUUUUUGAUCAAAAUGAUUAUUACUAUUUAGGUUUCUCAUUUUUUCUUCACUCUUUUUUUUUUUUUAAUUAAGGAUAAAGUAAAAAAAAACAAAGUACUGUAUGAGACUAGACUAAACAUACUUAUUAGCUGUAUAUGACCAUCCAAAAAAAAGAACAUCCUACCUUUUUUUUUGUAUGGCUACAAUUUUUAAUUUUAUAAUUGAUAAGAGUACCAUGCUUAAUUAUUUAUUAACACAUUACAAAAUAAUAAAAGAACAUUUUUCUGUUA